CUCCCUCAGGCCGCGCCGCCAUCUUGGCGGGGCCCUGAGUGCUGCUUUUGACCCAGCCUUGGGGUGUUGAGGUGUUGGUCUGUGGCCAGGUGCUCAUGCUGUGCUGAGGAGUGGCCUCAGCUCUUGUAAGAACCGGGUUCUGGGUGCUGCAGAGGUCCCAUCACCCCUGGGUUCUGUGCAGCCCAACCACAGUCUCUGCCUCAGGAGAAACAGAAAGUGAAGAUGCCUGCAAGGGAAGUGAGAAUUCUCCCUUUGAAAAGAACAGCAGGAAGGGAACCUGGUUUUGGUACUGGUUCGAGAGGACAGCUGGGAGCUACACUGAAGGGGCAGAAACCUCUGCAGCUGCUGCUGCUGAACAUCUGGGGAUAAACCUCUUCCACCAAUGCAGUCUUCACAAGGUGAGUAUUUGUCCAGACCCCAAAUUCUUCUCUGCAGGGCUAAAGGAAGAGUCUGGUGAAAGAGAUAGGUACCUGCAAACCCCUUGGGUACUCAUUUGGUGUGGAAAGCUCUCCAUGUUAAUUUCCCAUUCUCUCCUAUCCUUUCCUGUACAGUAUAUUAGUUUAUUGGAAUACAGAAGGAAGUCUUGCUAUGAUAUGUUCUUACUUGAACCUACUGUCAGUUAA
rnacentral:lncRNA from 1 species